UCAAUUUGCGCCGCUCACCAUCAACAUAUUAUUCUAAUCUGAAAUCUUCUUCUUCCUCCUGUGACUUUGUUUCUCUCUACGCCCAAACCCUAACGCCACCAAGCUUAAUUCAUACGUUCACCGUUCUUCUUCAACACUCUUUCUUGCACGGUUAAAUUUUUUCCACAUGUGCCCUGAUUUCUCCAAGCUCUUCCUCCUCCUCUUUCAAUUGCGCGGCUCCUCUCACCUCUUCUCAUUGACUGCUCAUCGGUUUACAAAAGAGGUUCAUGCUGGCAAAGGCGGCGGCGGCGGAAGGUUGCUAGGGUUUAGCGGCGGCGGAAGGUUGCUAGGGUUUUGCAGGCUCCGUCGGUUGUGUGUGUGAUUCGUUUCAAUUCCCAAACUAUUGGUGACAGUAACACUGUGAAAGAGAGAAGGUGGAAUUAUCAGAGGGAGGAGUCAAUUUUGAUCUUCGUAUUUGUUUAAAAGUUGUAAUUGCAUGGAACGACAACAACAGCAACCAGAGCAGCGCCACCUCCUCAGUGGCGGAGAUGUUCAUUUACAGCAUAGCAUGGACCUCCUGGGUACACUUUUGCAAUUCUGUUCCUGUACAAACACGGGAGGAGAAGGAUGUUUAUGGUAUUCCUUGAGAGAGCUUGAACAUAAAAGAGACUGCAUGAGAAGCAAUUAUUUAGAUCAGAUAAAAAAAAGUGUUGAUGCUUAAGUUCAUUGAAACACUGAACCAAUUGAUCCAAAUGAGGUUGAGGAUUAUUAUACAGUCAUUAAAGAGCCUAUGGAUUUUGCAACCAUGAGGGCUAAACUACAUGAAGGGAUGUAUAAGACUCUAGAACAAUUUGAGGUUUGCAUCUUUCAUUUUAUUUCACAUGCUCAUGUUAUCUAUCAGUAUCAAUUAGCAGACAUGUAUGCAUAAUAUUUGAACCAUCUAACACAUGAUAUUUGAACCAUUAUACAACAUGACAUGUUUCUAAUAUUCAACAAUGCUCUUCUAUUUCAUUUUGCUAUUGAUUCUUGAGAGCUUGAAGAACCAUUGGAUCAUAUUCACAUGAUUGAUUAUUUUUUAGUAUGGGCCAUGUUUAGGAUAGUGUGCAACACUGCAUGAGGCUGAGAUCUAUAUCAUGACAACCAUAUAAGGGAGCUCCCAUCACUGACACCGGCACAUAGAGAGGCAAAAAAUUGAAGACAUUGUAACACCACACGUGAUCCUGUGUAAAGACAUGGUGCUGAAGUUUUCUGGCUCUUCCAAGCAAUCAUCAAGAUCUGGACCAGGUUCAAGUUCAAGAGGAAUGGGACCAAUAGAGAAUCAUGAGAACACUGUGGCAGAAGGGGUUCAAUACCCUGACAUGGGAGGAGUUGGUUCAGCCUCUGCCCGUGCUUGGGAACACAGGACCUCCUUGAAAAAUUUUCAGGUGUAAGCACCAUUUGGUUUAUGUAUAAUGCUGAUUUGUGGUGAUGAAAGUGGCUCCCUUGGCUGUGGAAUUGGUACUCUUAUUGAUUGCUGCGAUCCUCUAUUGCCAGAAGUUCCUGAGGACGAUUGGUUCUGUCCAAAGUGCAGUAGCACCCAAAACUGCACAACUUUAAUUGACCUGAGAAAUUUUGUUCAUGGAAAUCACAUGAAUAGCUUCACCCUAGAGCUAGCUUUGCAAAUCCAAAAGGGUUUUCUAGAAAGAAUUUGUCAAAGGUAAGUGAUUGUGUUAGCUUACGCAUCACAUAUUAAAACAAGGCCGCAUUGAUAGCAGCAUCAAGUGUACAAGUUAAUUUAGGCUUGAGUCAUCUUUGGCCAUUUGUUCUGGGUAAGCUCUUCCAUUCUAUGUGAAAUGCAAAUAUGGUAAUAGAAUUGAAGACAUAGCCCAAGAUAAGUAGAUGUAAUGUAUACUCCAAAUGUGUAUUUACUUCACUCCAUUAAUUUCAAUUUUGUAAUGAAGUUAUUUGUGUUCUGCACUGUGUAAAUAACAUCAUAUUCAUAUUGAAGUGUCAUACAACCUCAACCCAAAGUUAUUUUUUCUCACUGUGAAAUCAACAUUCACAGUAGUUAGUUGACAUCAAGUGAGCUUUAUUUAGAAGCUUUGUGAAUAUAUGGAAAUCCUUAAUUCUAAUAGCCAUAAGUUAACAACCUGAUAAGCUAAUUGAGUCUCACAGCUAGAGUAACAAACCACAAUGCCUCUUUAAGCUAUCCCUUGCUACUUUUAGCUCCUUUUAAAGCUUCAAUUUGUACUUUGUAAUGGUGAUAAGUUUGCUCAUUUGGCUGGAAGGUCUUUCUUAUUUGUUUUGCUCCGUGGCUGUGUUGAUUUCUAUGAUUUAUUUACAAAUAUUUUUUCUUUACUAAACAAGCUAAUCGUUCUUAUUAUGUGGGACCGUGGAAUGAACAUUGUCUAUCACAUGACAGACAACUAAGGAAUUAAAUCUCUUAUGUAGUUAAUCAGUUGUUCUUCGAUUGAGAAAUCACUUUCUGGAGCUUGCUUUUAGUUCCUCAGUGAAAAAAAAGAUGGGUGUUUUGUUACUUUUAUUGUUAGUGCGUAAUCAGUGUUGGAUAGUUUUAAAUCGCAUUUAGACAUAACUGAUCUCUUGAACUGUUUUUCUGGAUUUCUACUGCAUUUUCCUUGGUGUUUAAAGUAUGUAGAUGCUACAGAUUUUGGGAAAAGGGCGGUGGUUCAUAUUACCUUAAAUGAAUGUGAUAGACUUUGACCAGUUUGAUUGUUCAUUUAGACCUUGCUACAUUCCUCAACUCCACGAAUCUGAAGGGUUGUUACAGUAGCAUACAAAGAACCAGGAUUUUGAAGUCAUGAAUCAUGACAAGACAAUGGAUCCAAAGAAUUAGUUGUGGGGUGGAGUUACGAAGAAGCCAAGGAAUAUGUGAAUGUUUCAAAGGAAGAGGUUCUUAUUUGAAGAUAAUUCAAGGAAAAUCUACAGGAAGAAAGUAAUUUUAGAAAAUGGUUGGAGUUCAACACACGAGAGAAUUUAUUUGUACUGUUAACUAUAUUGGUUAAAUUUAAUUUAAUUAUGUUGAAGGGUAUACUUUUAUUGAUUCAAUUGUAAAUUACUUUAGAAGUUGUUUCUUACUUUGUAAAGGAAAAGUUUGGAUCUAAUUAUAUAAGGAAACA